rnacentral:rRNA from 1 species
CAGUCGAGCGGUACAGAAAGUAGCUUGCUACUUUGCUGACGAGCGGCGGACGGGUGAGUAAUGCUUGGGAACAUGCCUUGAGGUGGGGGACAACAGUUGGAAACGACUGCUAAUACCGCAUAAUGUCUACGGACCAAAGGGGGCUUCGGCUCUCGCCUUUAGAUUGGCCCAAGUGGGAUUAGCUAGUUGGUGAGGUACUGGCCCACCAAGGCGACGAUCCCUAGCUGGUUUGAGAGGAUGAUCAGCCACACUGGGACUGAGACACGGCCCAGACUCCUACGGGAGGCAGCAGUGGGGAAUAUUGCACAAUGGGCGCAAGCCUGAUGCAGCCAUGCCGCGUGUGUGAAGAAGGCCUUCGGGUUGUAAAGCACUUUCAGUCAGGAGGAAAGCGUGGUGGUUAAUACCCAUCAUGUGUGACGUUACUGACAGAAGAAGCACCGGCUAACUCCGUGCCAGCAGCCGCGGUAAUACGGAGGGUGCGAGCGUUAAUCGGAAUUACUGGGCGUAAAGCGUACGCAGGCGGUUUGUUAAGCGAGAUGUGAAAGCCCCGGGCUCAACCUGGGAACUGCAUUUCGAACUGGCAAACUAGAGUGUGAUAGAGGGUGGUAGAAUUUCAGGUGUAGCGGUGAAAUGCGUAGAGAUCUGAAGGAAUACCGAUGGCGAAGGCAGCCACCUGGGUCAACACUGACGCUCAUGUACGAAAGCGUGGGGAGCAAACGGGAUUAGAUACCCCGGUAGUCCACGCCGUAAACGAUGUCUACUAGAAGCUCGGAGCCUCGGUUCUGUUUUUCAAAGCUAACGCAUUAAGUAGACCGCCUGGGGAGUACGGCCGCAAGGUUAAAACUCAAAUGAAUUGACGGGGGCCCGCACAAGCGGUGGAGCAUNNGGUUUAAUUCGAUGCAACGCGAAGAACCUUACCUACACUUGACAUACA